UACAGAGGGGGCAAGCGUUGUUCGGAAUUACUGGGCGUAAAGGGCGCGUAGGCGGCCUGCUAAGUCGAACGUGAAAUCCCCGAGCUCAACUCGGGAACUGCGUCCGAUACUGGUUGGCUUGAAUCCGGGAGAGGGAUGCGGAAUUCCAGGUGUAGCGGUGAAAUGCGUAGAUAUCUGGAGGAACACCGGUGGCGAAGGCGGCAUCCUGGACCGGCAUUGACGCUGAGGCGCGAAAGCCAGGGGAGCAAACGGG
rnacentral:rRNA from 1 species